GACGAACGCUGGCGGCGUGCCUAAUACAUGCAAGUCGAACGCAGUGGGGACGGGUGAGUAACACGUGGGUAACCUCCCAUCAGAGGGGAUAACACUUGGAAACAGGUGCUAAACCGAUACUGAUUGAUGGACCCGCGGUGCAUUAGCUAGUUGGUGGGGUAACGGCGCACCAAGGCCACGAUGCAUAGCGGACCUGAGAGGGUGAUCGGCCACACUGGGACUGAGACACGGCCCAGACUCCUACGGGAGGCAGCAGUAGGGAAUAUUGAGUAAUGGACGAAAGUCUGACCGAGCAACGCCGCGUGAGUGAAGAAGGUUUUCGGGUCGUAAAACUCUGUUGUGGGGGAGGCGGUAUCUAACCAAAAAGCCCCGGCAAACUACGGGCCAGCCGCCGCGGUAAUUC
rnacentral:rRNA from 1 species